UACGUAGGGUGCGAGCGUUGUCCGGAAUUAUUGGGCGUAAAGGGCUCGUAGGCGGUUUGUCACGUCAGGAGUGAAAACUCGGGGCUCAACCCCGAGCCUGCUUCUGAUACGGGCAGACUAGAGGUAUGCAGGGGAGAACGGAAUUCCUGGUGUAGCGGUAAAAUGCGCAGAUAUCAGGAGGAACACCGGUGGCGAAGGCGGUUCUCUGGGCAUUACCUGACGCUGAGGAGCGAAAGUGUGGGGAGCGAACAGG
rnacentral:rRNA from 1 species